rnacentral:misc_RNA from 1 species
CCGGGAAAAGUCGGGCAAAUUUGAAGCGCUCCUCUGUUAUUCACGUUUUUUACGAAAUACUGAGUCCAAAAACCGUUGUUUAUUGGCAGUUCUCAGGUUUUUACGAAAAAGGUGAACAUUGAAUUUAGAAUCCGAAAAUAAGUGAUGUAAAUAUAUUGCAAAAUAUUGGAUCAAGUGUUAAAAAUCAUUUGAGAAACACAAGUUCAAGAACUGUGAGUGCGUGACAUCGUGUGUUUUGGUUUUGGAUACGUUUCAUGAAUGAGCGCGGGUGUGAACGAAUUUUUCGGAGUCAACAACAAACAACGAACGCGAUAAACAGAGGCACACUCACACGACCGCGUUUAAAAAAAAAAAACAGCACUCUCCAUUUACCAAUAAAGAAAUCUUUUGUUUUUGGAAAGCAAAUAGAAAAUACGAAAAUGAAGCGCGGAAAUUGCAGUGCAAAACAAAACAAACGCAUCGUUUGUUGGGCUUGAAUUUCGCACGGUUUUAACACUUCCCAUAAUAAAAAAUAAUCACUCCCCUUCUCCCCUCCCUCGAAAGCUGAAAAGUAAAAAUAAAACUAUGUGCAGAAAAAUAUAUAAAGUUAAAUAGUGCAUAAAAAUCGGUUUUCUUUGCGGUUCGGUUCCGUUUUUGUUUAUUUGUAGUGUGCGUGUGUUUCUGUUUCCCCCUUUCUAUCGCUAUCUCUAUCUCUAACCCCGUCUCUUUCUCUGCCCCACCGCCCGUCUCUUUCUGUCGUUUGGGGCGAAAGAGAACGCGUGCUUUUGUUUUCGAUUACGUUUACUACAUUUUUUAUACGCCCCGUAGAAAAACAUGACGAAAUGUUGUUGUUGAAAACGAGAAAUAAAUACAAGUGAUUCAAAAUAUAAAAAAUAAACGAAACAACGAAAAUAAUAAAGAGAAAUUACACAUCUGAUCUAUACGAGAAGAAAAGAAAAGUUCUGUGCAGCAAUAUACGAAAGCGAAAUUCCAUUUGGUGUAUAAGGAAUCUCCGAUGAUGGUGUUGUGAAAUCAAAAAGUAAAGAAACCCCAAAGCUACAGAUACUCUCUUCGCGAGCGGCAGCUGCAAACGCAUCCAAGAAGUGUGGGACAUUCGCCAAGAUAUUUUGCAUGAAAAUUGCAGCAAAAAAAGGUAAAUUAUGCAAAUAUGUUGAACCGUUUUGCCUUUUGCGGUGCAGAUCGCGUGCUUAGAUACGUGCCCGCUGGUGUGAGUAUGAAUACAUAUAGUACUCCAAUAGCCAUCCAGCUGAACGUGCCAAAAUGUUGACAUUUAUUGCGACUGAGCCACUCAAACGGGGUUGGGCUCCGCUUGCCUCAUUACUGUUAGACCAACAAGAUCAGUUCGGCGACAGGGCUUGAAAAAUAAUUGUUGGCUGC